UGCGUAGGCGGCCUGGCAGGUUGGGUGUGAAAGCCCUCGGCUCAACCGAGGAAUUGCGCUCAAAACCGUCAGGCUUGAGGGAGAUAGGGGAGAGCGGAACUAAUGGUGGAGCGGUGAAAUGCGUUGAUAUCAUUAGGAACACCGGUGGCGAAAGCGGCUCUCUGGAUCUCUUCUGACGCUGAGGCACGAAAGCUAGGGUAGCGAACG
rnacentral:rRNA from 1 species